UUUAGGUAACGAUGCAGAUAUCUGGCUCCCUGUCUCAGUGUGAAAGUUCCUUAUGGACCCCCCAUCUUAUGACGAGGCCAACCUGCACCCCCCCGCUUUCGGCACAGCGGUGCUCAACGCCAGCCCCCCUCCUACCUACGACGCCUCCCUUGCAUCGCGAUCCACACCCCCUCCCACCUAUGGAGAAGCAGCAUUUCAAAUGCUGAUACGCUGGGCCUUCGCUGAAGUCCUAGAAGUCCCUAAGGAUUCCCCCUCUCUUUUCCAUGUAUACCACGGCCCGCUGUCGGUUGCUGCGCAAGUGGGUGUAGUUACCCUGCCGCCGGACCCUUACCCCAUCCUGACUGCUCCAGCCGUGCUGACCUCUGUGAGCCCGCACCCGCAGCAGA